rnacentral:lncRNA from 1 species
CAAGCUACAGGACUCCAAAUUGAGCAAGAUUAGAUCCUACGGAAUUUUGAGAGAAGCAAGAAAGGAACAUAAUUUAUAGAAUUAAAUUUGGAUUCCAGAUGAGGUGGCUACAGUAGGUUGAAGUUGGUAACAAUGUUGGACACAACAAGAAACACCCAAUACACUCAGAUUCUUCUUAGUGUUUCUUGGCACAAAGAUCUGAUAUGGCAACCAAUUUUGGGUGGCAAAGAGCUAUCUUGGAAAGAAUUAAAUAGAAGAAAAUUAGAGUCUAAACUAAUUCUGCAUGAGGAGCAAACUGAGAAAGAAUUGAAACUAAUUCUUGGAAAACUUGAUUUGGGCAGCCGAAACCUUACCUUGUUUUGCAGAUUUUGUGGAUCCAGAAAGGAAGAAAUUCUUCUCCUC